rnacentral:rRNA from 1 species
UACGUAGGGUCCGAGCGUUAAUCGGAAUUACUGGGCGUAAAGCGUGCGCAGGCGGUUUUUGUAAGCCAGAUGUGAAAUCCCCGGGCUCAACCUGGGAACUGCAUUUGGGACUGCAAGGCUGGAGUACGGCAGAGGGAGGUGGAAUUCCACGUGUAGCAGUGAAAUGCGUAGAGAUGUGGAGGAACACCGAUGGCGAAGGCAGCCUCCUGGGCUAGUACUGACGCUCAUGCACGAAAGCGUGGGGAGCAAACAGG